rnacentral:rRNA from 1 species
CCUACGGGGGGCUGCAGUCGAGAAUCAUUCACAAUGGGCGAAAGCUUGAUGGUGUGACGCCGCGUGGAGGAUGAAGGUCUUCGGAUUGUAAACUCCUGUCAUGUGAGAGUAAAGCCGGGUCUUAACUGGAUGCCGGUUUGAGAGUAUCACAAGAGGAAGAGGCGGCUAACUCUGUGCCAGCAGCCGCGGUAAUACAGAGGCCUCAAGCGUUGUUCGGAAUCACUGGGCGUAAAGGGUGCGUAGACGGCGCGGAAAGUCAGGGGUGAAAUCCCGGAGCUCAACUCCGGAACUGCCUUUGAUACUCCCGCGCUUGAGAACUGGAGGGGACAUCGGAAUUCACGGUGGAGCAGUGAAAUGCGUGGAUAUCGUGAGGAACACUAGUGGCGAAGGCGGAUGUCUGGACAGUAUCUGACGCUGAGGCACGAAGGCCAGGGGAGCGAACGGGAUUAGAUACCCGAGUAGUC